rnacentral:lncRNA from 1 species
GAGUAAGAAACUGUUUAUCUGUUUUCAUUAUUCCACAAGACCCUGACUACGUAGAGUGUGGUCCAAUGACCAAGCAGCAUUAGCACAGCCCAAGAGCCUGCUGGACAACAUAAGAGCACGACUGAAACCUAGUUCAUCUCAAGAAGAAGCAUGACAUAAAAGAGAAACGCAAGGGCAUGGGUGACUGCCCUGCAAAGAAUCCCAAAACACUGUACUGUAUCAAUAAAUACAUUAAUGGAUUUCAGGAGACCCUGAGCUCACAAGGACUUGAACUGAUUUGAAAGUGAUCAGAUGAUGAAUUACGUUCAUAUGAAGGAAGCACAUGGCAACCAAUGACCAGAAUCUGCUAUAAUGCUUCCUUCCUCAUCUUCACCAGGAAUUUAUUACUGAGAGUCUCUGUUGUGAUUCUAAUUUGCUAUAUGAGUCCUAUUCUUUAGUUAUUUACCACUUAUUGGCACGUUAAUUACCUCAUUUGAAAUGAUGGUGGAAGACAGUGGAUACCAAAGCAAAUAAAAAGUAUGGAGUUGGACAU